AAUGGUGACAGGUUUUGACAGGCGUCUCCUUCACAUUGACAUUCAAACAGGUCUCCUUGUUGACGAUUCCAAGAUGUCGGCACUUUUGAUGUACCUGAAGCAGCCGAGCUGCAUCUACUGUGCAUAUCUAUGGUUGGCAACCCUAGCUGUGGUGAAUGCACAGGAAGUGUUACAACCCAAACCUGAUGAGGUUCAGAUUUUAAAUGAAGACAGCGGAGGACUUUAUUUCUUAGCAGACCAAGGAAACACAAAAUAUCCAGCCUUGGCAUCACAGCCCAUUGAAGUGGCAGCUCUAGGAAGACCUCUGUUUCCUGGUAUGCUGUAUGACUGCCGCAAGGAUACCUUCAUUCCAGGUGUUACUCUGUGGAAUAAGAAGUCACUGAGUGAAGAUCUGGACAGUCGUUCAAAGCUCAUGACAGAUUUGAAAUUCAGUAACUCCGACUCUCUCUCUAGUAAGUCCAGUCUCCUGAAUGUAAGUGCUUCGCUGAAGGCCAGCUUAUUGGGAGGGCUGGUGGAGGUGGGAGGAUCUGCCAAGUUCCUGCGUGACACCAAAUCCUCAAACCAACAGUCCAGAGUUACAAUGUAUUACAAAGAAAGCACCAGAUUCGAACAGCUUACUAUGACUCAGCUGGGCCAGAUCACCUACCCUCAGGUGUUUGACCAGAAAACUGCAACUCAUGUGGUUACGGCUGUACUGUAUGGAGCUCAGGCCUUCAUGGUGUUUGAUCGGACAUUUUCAGAAGAGGAAAACAAGCAGGAGAUUGAGGAAGGACUGAAUAUCAUGGUCAAGAAGAUUCCUAAAUAUUCUAUUGAGAGAAAAGGAGCUAUAAAGAUGACAGAUGGUGAUAAGAAAGUGGCUGAGAGCAUUGCCUGCACAUUUUAUGGUGACUUCCGCCUUGAUCAUAACCCCACCACUUACAUGAAGGCCCUAGAGGUGUACAAGAAGAUCCCCACUAUACUGAAGGAGAAUCCACAGAAUGCAGUUCCAAUAAAAGUAUGGCUCUAUCCUCUUUCUCUACUGGAUACAAAAGCAGCACAGUUGGAGAGAGAAAUUAGCACAAGUCUGGUUUCCAACGCUCAAGAUAUAAUAGAGGGGCUGGGACAGGCAGAGAGGACAUGUAAUGACCUCUCAAGAAAACCACUGGUAAAUGUUUUCAGAGACAUCAAAGACAGGCUGCAAUCAUUUCAGAGUUCAUUCAGCAUUUACAAGACAAUGCUCCUGAAAGCUGUCAGCAGGGUCUUGCCUGCUAUACGAGGAGGAGAGAUGGAGCAAAAUUCAUUGGAAGACAUCCUGAAGAUCCACUACAGUUCCCCUUUCAAUGCUGACAAGCUUAACCAGUGGUUAGAUCGUGCAAAGUCUGAACUCAACCUCUUGAGUUCUCACACCAAGCUGCUGGAGGGAAUCAAAACUGAAGACUCAAAACAUCUCAACAUCAUCCUCCAUAAUCCUGAUAUUGAUGUUGUGGUGUGCUUCACCUUCACAUCUCUGGAGUAUGAAGACCCGUAUCUUUCAACCCUGAAGGAGUUUCUGAAAUCUGACAAGUUUAAACAGCUAGAUGUGGGAACGAAACAGUAUUCUAACACGUUAGCAUCAGAAGAGUGGUUCAACAAUCCUGAUGUCAUCUCAAAGAUGAUAGAGAAUUUAUCUAUUUUCAAAAGUUUUUCAGAGGCUUAUAAAGAUGAAAAGAGAUACCGAUUCAUUAUUUCUGCCAUCUCCGAUCCAUCCAGUCCAGGCUCCUCCAUCUAUCUGUAUGAAAAAGGGCAGUUGACAAACAGACAGUUCCAGCCCGUGUCGAAGCCUCCCCCACCAGAAGUGAAGGAGGUCCUGGAGCACAGUGUGUACCUGAAACUGCAAAAGUCCCCGACUGGAGAAACUGUGCAGUACAGAGUGGAGUACCAGCAGGUGAAAGCAGCUGAGGAACAGUGGCUUGUCAUAAACACACCUGAUAAAGACUUUAAUCUGACUAAGUUGGAGUUUGGAACGCAGUACUUGAUCCGCUACAGGAUUGUGGGUAAAAGUGAAGUGAAGUGAAGCCAGUGACACUAUCGGACCCAUAACAACUUUAGACAUUGUUCCCAAGACCAGGAACGGCUUCCUACAAUAUUCCCGUCGGCUCACUCUGGAUCUGAACACAGUGAAUGAACACCUCCAUCUGUCUGAGAACAACACACUGAUUACUUACAAUGACACACUCCAGUCGUAUCCUGAUCAUCCAGACAGAUUUCAGGUGUUUCCUCAGGUGUUGUGUAGAGAGAGUGUGAGUGAUCAACGCUCUUACUGGGAGGUUGAGUUUAGUGGAGAAUUUGUGUUAAUAGCAGUGUCAUAUAAGAGCAUCAUCAGGAAGGGAUGGGGUUAUAUGUUUGGAUAUAAUGAUCAGUCCUGGAGUUUGAUCUGCUCUCGCUCCUAUUGCUCAUUCUGUUGCAAAGACAUAAGGACUAAAGUCCCUGUAGAGUCCAUCAGCAGGAGAAUAGGAGUGUAUGUGGAUCACAGUGAAGGAAUUCUGUUCUUCUACGACGUCUCUGGAGACACAAUGAUCCUCAUCCACACAGUCCAGACCACAUUCACUCAACCGCUCUAUCCUGGGUUUACUGUUGGUGAUGGAUCAUCAGUGAAACUGUGUUCAUGAUUCAGAACAAACCGAUUCUACCCAUAAUGCUUUGAGCUCAUGAUGAAUCAGUGACAGUGAGAUGUUAUAGAGUCUCUUCAUUACAUUAAUACUGUCAGUGAAAUAUGUCAGAAUAAAUGUGUGAUAAAUCCUCAUAUACACAGUCAGAUCAGUGUGUGUAUCUGUUCUUCUCUCAGCCUCUACUUGUUCUGAUGGAAAUCAGUUUUUAUUGUAGUGUCACAUCAAUCUCUAUUAUAACUGUCAAAAUGACCUUUCAGUUGAAAAGUGCCUUUCACGGGGGCGCUAUUGAGUACUGAAUGGAGUAGACGUGUUCUGCUGAGCUCCUCGCCAUAUUUUAAGUUAAUUGGUCAUUGUUUUAAUUUCUUGGUUUCUUUUGCUUCAUAAUUUUAUUUGUUGAAGAGCAGUAUAAUGACUAUGCCCCAAAGCUGAAAGGGGAAAGAAGCUGGAUAAAGCAUUGAAUGAAUUCCCUGCUCAGUCGCCUUCGGAGAUGGCAGAACAGGCCGCGGCAUCCUCGGGGUCGAGUGGCGAGACUGACGCUGAAUCUACCAGUAUUCUUCUGGCAAUACAGUAUAUGAGCAAAACGAUGACUGAUCGAUU